ACAGAAAAAAGUCUUCGUUUAUUGGGAAAGAAUCAAUAUACUUUUAAUGUCGAAUCGGGAUUCACUAAGACAGAAAUAAAGCAUUGGGUCGAACUCUUCUUUGGUGUUAAGGUGGUAGCUGUGAAUAGCCAUCGACUACCUGGAAAAGUCCAAUCUAAGAAUGUUACAACUUGCAUCAUCAUCAUCAUGGCCAAAUGA
rnacentral:rRNA from 1 species